AUACGGAGGGUGCGAGCGUUAAUCGGAAUUACUGGGCGUAAAGCGUACGUAGGCGGUUGGUUAAGUUAGAUGUGAAAGCCCCGGGCUUGACCUGGGAACUGCAUUUAAAACUGGCGAACUAGAGUUGAGUAGAGGGGAGUGGAAUUUCAGGUGUAGCGGUGAAAUGCGUAGAGAUCUGAAGGAACACCAGUGGCGAAGGCGACUCCCUGGACUCGAACUGACGCUGAGGUACGAAAGCGUGGGUAGCAAACGGGAUUAGAAACCCUAGUAGUCC
rnacentral:rRNA from 1 species